GACGAACGCUGGCGGCGCGCCUAACACAUGCAAGUCGAACGGAGCUGGGAGAAGCUUGCUUGUCUUAGCUCAGGGGCGAACGGGUGAGUAACGCGUGAGUACUCUGCCCUGGAGUGGGGGACAACAGAGGGAAACGACUGCUAACACCGCAUAAGCCCACGAUCCGGCAUCGGCUUGAGGGAAAAGGAUUUCUUCGCUUCAGGCUGGACUCGCGUCCAAUUAGCUAGUUGGGGAGGUAACUGCUCACCAAGGCGACGAUUGGUAGCCGGCCUGAGAGGUUGCGCGGCCGGAUUGGGACUGAGGCACGUCCCGGACGCGUACGCGAGGCAGCAGUGGGGGCCAUUGCGCAUGGAGGCCAGACCUGACGCCGCGCCGUCGCGUGGAGGAAGAAGGUUUUCGGAUUGUAGAUUCCUGUAGAUUGGGACGAUAAUGACGGUACCUAACAAGAAAGCACCGGCUAACUACGUG
rnacentral:rRNA from 1 species